UUCAAUGAGCGAUAUCCUGUCACAUCCUGGGAAGCAGAGGCUCACUACACAUAGGGUUUGUUGGGGAAGACAAACUUUUUGAUAAUGAGCCUCCAUCCCCUUCCCCAGCUGUUAUUGCUGAGUGUGACACCACACAGUAUGGGAUAUCCCAUUGGUCAGUUUUGGUCAUCUGCCCCUGUGAUGUCUCCUCCCCACCCCUGCCCAUCCCCUGCUGGUUUUGGAGAUUUGGAGGGAGUCAUGGUGCUGUGGGGCACAGCUCAGUGAUAGACAAAACACUGGUGCAAUAUCAGGGCUGUUUGAGCUGCAAGUGCAGAGCACUGCACUGCUGUAAUGGGGUGUCGUGGGGGAAGUUAACUCCAUCCCAGCCAGACCCAGCAAAGGCAUCUAUCAGGAACUCUGUGUUUACAUGUUAGAUUAGCACUGGCUCUCCUUGCCUUUAAUUGUGAGAUUCUGGUAAUUCGGUUCCACAGCCAAACUUCUCAUUAAUCAGUUCACAGUUACACAAACCAGUCAUAAUGAAACCACUGCUGUAUUAAUAUCUAACACUGGAAGGCAGCCUGAGAUCAGUGUUCUUCUUUGUGGCUUGGGACAGUUUCAGGAAGGGGAUGGGGAUAAUGAGCACUGUGGGGUUCUGCCUUUCUUGGGAAGUAAGGCGUUGACAGCGCCCCUCCGGAGCUAGCUGAAUCUCUUGUGUGAGUGGGUGCCCAGACCAGCUGCACUGAUACCCCAGUGAUUUCCCGAGCAUCUUCCAAAGGCUUGUUGCAAAAGCAGAAAUGGUGUAUGAAAUGGUAGAAGGUACUUGUUAAAGGCCUGUGGCAGCAGUUUGGAAAACAGAACUGAAUAUGAGAAGUUCUGGAGAGCGAAGGCAACAUUCAUCUCCAAAGCAUUAAGGAGGUUUGUUUCAUCUUUCCUCUUGUGGUCCUGCCUCUGUUUUCGUCAGUCACCAUGUGAAGGUCAGCCAGGGGUACGUGUCAGGACAAGCUAUGCAGUGCUGGGAAGCGGACUGGGGUUGUGUCCCCAUGGUGCAUCCCAGUAACUGCUGCUCCCUGGUGUGUUGCCACGGGGCUGCUGUGUCACAGUGGCGAGGGCUGUGAAGCCAUGAGGCACCGGCCGUGCCGCACACUCCUGUGACAACCACAGAGGCGGCAGGAGGCAGGAGGGACAGCUCUGUGGCGGCAGGUUGCGAGUGGCAGAAGCGCUUCCAGGCCUCACACACUCCUCGAGGAGCACGUGGUGGGGAGCGGCCCAGUGGCCAUGCUGCGCAGGAAAGAUAUUUCAGGCCAUCCAAUUCAUCCGUAAGGGGCUGGUGCAAACCUAUGAAAACAUUGAACCCUUCAGACCACAUGAUGAAAGCCAGGCAGCAUGAUCCAAGGAAUCUCAGAGACUAGUAUUUUUUUGAAGUUUAUUCAGCAGCUGUAUGGUACUGAAACUACAGUAUUGAAAUGCCAUGCAAUUUGAAUAAUGGCAAUUGUGGGAUGUUUCUCAAGACUGAAAAAAAGAUUAUUUCCAUGUCUCUGUCCUCAGGAAGAAAGAUGUGGGUAACUAUAGUCGGAUUUUCCUGAACCAAAAAGAUCAUGGAGCAAAUCUGAAUAGAAUCUACAUGCUGGAUCACUAAAGACAAUGAGGAUAAUCAGAAACGGGAAGAGGAUGCCAAAAGAGGAACCUUCACAGAUGCCACUAUUUAAUGACCCUCAACAGGCUAAUCUAACUUUGGACUUGGGCCUGCUUUGAACAGAGGAUGUUGAAUCAGACUCUAGUAGUUCUCUUCCAAAUAAAAUUAUAUUCUGGGAUUGUUAACAGCCAAGGUAAAAAUAAGUAGAAAGCCUUCUUCUGUGCUUGUUCAGCUACACCUGUCUAAAACAAAAUAGAGCAAACACUAUGAAAUAAACAGA